UUACCGAGUUUACAACUCCCAAACCCCUGUGAACAUACCAAUUGUUGCCUCGGCGGAUCAGCCCGCUCCCGGUAAAACGGGACGGCCCGCCAGAGGACCCCUAAACUCUGUUUCUAUAUGUAACUUCUGAGUAAAACCAUAAAUAAAUCAAAACUUUCAACAACGGAUCUCUUGGUUCUGGCAUCGAUGAAGAACGCAGCAAAAUGCGAUAAGUAAUGUGAAUUGCAGAAUUCAGUGAAUCAUCGAAUCUUUGAACGCACAUUGCGCCCGCCAGUAUUCUGGCGGGCAUGCCUGUUCGAGCGUCAUUUCAACCCUCAAGCCCCCGGGUUUGGUGUUGGGGAUCGGCGAGCCCUUGCGGCAAGCCGGCCCCGAAAUCUAGUGGCGGUCUCGCUGCAGCUUCCAUUGCGUAGUAGUAAAACCCUCGCAACUGGUACGCGGCGCGGCCAAGCCGUUAAACCCCCAACUUCUGAAUGUUGACCUCGGAUCAGGUAGGAAUACCCGCUGAACUUAAGCAUAUCAAUAAGCGGAGGAAAAGAAACCAACAGGGAUUGCCCUAGUAACGGCGAGUGAAGCGGCAACAGCUCAAAUUUGAAAUCUGGCUCUCGGGCCCGAGUUGUAAUUUGUAGAGGAUACUUUUGAUGCGGUGCCUUCCGAGUUCCCUGGAACGGGACGCCAUAGAGGGUGAGAGCCCCGUCUGGUUGGAUGCCAAAUCUCUGUAAAGUUCCUUCGACGAGUCGAGUAGUUUGGGAAUGCUGCUCUAAAUGGGAGGUAUAUG
rnacentral:rRNA from 1 species